GGCUGGGUAGCUCAGGGGUAGAGCACCGCCCUGAAAAGGCGGGUGUCGGCAGUUCGAAUCUGCCCCCAGCCACCG
rnacentral:tRNA from 2 species